rnacentral:rRNA from 1 species
UGGCAGCCGCCGCGGAAAUACGGAGGAUCCAAGCGUUGUCCGGAUUCAUUGGGUUUAAAGGGUACGUAGGUGGGCUAUUAAGUCAGUGGUGAAAGCCUGCAGCUUAACUGUAGAAUUGCCAUUGAAACUGAUAGUCUUGAGUGUGGUUGAGGUGGUUGGAAUAUAUCAUGUAGCGGUGAAAUGCUUAGAUAUGAUAUAGAACACCGAUUGCGAAGGCAGAUCACUAAACCAUUACUGACACUGAGGUACGAAAGCAUGGGCAGCGAACAGGAUUAGAUA